rnacentral:rRNA from 1 species
CUAACACAUGCAAGUCGAGCGGUAACAGGUGUAGCAAUACAUGCUGACGAGCGGCGAACGGGUGAGUAAUGCUUUGGAAUCUUCCCAGUAGUGGGGAAUAACCAGUCGAAAGAUUGGCUAAUACCGCAUACGUCUGAAAAGGGAAAGCGGGGGCUCGUAAGACCUCGCGCUAUUGGAUGAGCCAAAGUCGGAUUAGCUUGUUGGUGGGGUAAUGGCCUACCAAGGCGACAAUCCGUAGCUGGUCUGAGAGGACGACCAGCCACACCGGAACUGAGACACGGUCCGGACUCCUACGGGAGGCAGCAGUGGGGAAUAUUGGACAAUGGGGGAAACCCUGAUCCAGCGACGCCGCGUGUGUGAAGAAGGCCUGCGGGUUGUAAAGCACUUUUAGUGGGGACAAAAAGCUAUGGACUAAUACUCUGUGGUCUUGAUUUAACCCAAAGAAAAAGCACCGGCUAACUCUGUGCCAGCAGCCGCGGUAAU